rnacentral:misc_RNA from 1 species
AAGUCGUAACAAGGUUUCCGUAGGUGAACCUGCGGAAGGAUCAUUAUUGAAAUAAACCUGAUGGGUUGUUUGCUGGCUCUCUAGGGAGCAUGUGCACGCCUUGUCAUCUUUAUAUCUCCACCUGUGCACUUUUUGUAGACCUUUUUCAGGUCUAUGUUGCUUCAUUUUACCCCAAUGUAUGUCAAUAGAAUGUUGUGACUAUAUAAUAUAUACAACUUUCAGCAACGGAUCUCUUGGCUCUC